rnacentral:rRNA from 1 species
AAUCAAGCGUUUAAGGGCGUGUAGUGGAUGCCUUGGCACUGAAAGCCGAUGAAGGACGUGAUAUACUGCGAUAAGUUUCGGGGAGCUGUAUGUAAGUUUUGAUCCGAAAAUUUCCGAAUGGGGAAACCCACCACUUUAUGUGGUACUUUAAACUGAAUACAUAGGUUUAAAGAGACAACCUGGAGAACUGAAACAUCUAAGUAACCAGAGGAAAAGAAAUCAAUUGAGAUUCCGUUAGUAGUGGCGAGCGAACGCGGACUAGGCCAGUAGUUUUGUUAAAAAAAUUUGAAUAGUUUGGAAAUGCUAACCAUAGAGGG